GUGGUGUGUGGAUCGUCCCUGUCGGCUGGCUCCGUGCCCGUCCACCGAACGGUCGGCGGGCGAUCCGCUUCGGUCGCGCUGGGUGGUAUGGUUCCCCAGAGGCCGGUUCUUGUGCUGCCUACCCCUUCAGGGGAAGCGGGCCGCUCGAUGCAAGCCUCCAUCCCGCGCCCUCCAACGGGCGCAGGAGGACAACGGAGCACCCCCCGCGUUCCACCGAGCCUCGUCGGUCGCGUGGCGCGCGGGGACGUGCGAUGCUCUCGGACCCAGCGAACGCCGUGGGCGAGGACUCACGUCCCAGUCCCGAUAGAAGCUCCCACAUAGUGCAUGACGGCCGCUCCCGUCCCCCGACCGCCCCGGC
rnacentral:misc_RNA from 1 species